GAUGAAGAACGUAGCGAAAUGCGAUAAGUAGUGUGAAUUGCAGAAUUCAGUGAAUCAUCGAAUCUUUGAACGCACAUUGCGCCCCUUGGUAUCCCGAGGGGCAUGCCUGUUCGAGCGUCAUUUCACCACUCAAGCCUGGCUUGGUGUUGGGCGACGUCCUCUUUGGGGACGCGCCUCGAAACGCUCGGCGGCGUGGCACCGGCUUUAAGCGUAGCAGAAUCCUUCGCUUUGGAAGUCGGGGCCCCGUCUGCCGGAAGACCUGCUCGCAAGGUUGACCUCGGAUCAGGCAGGGAUACCCGCUGAACUUAAGCAUAUCAAUAAGCGGAGGA
rnacentral:misc_RNA from 1 species